AUUUCUACAGAAAAAUAAACUGCCUAGCAUUGCCACCUGACAUUUAUAGUUUGGAGGACAUAAAACUUUUCUGAGGUCCCUUUAUUUUUUACUCUCAGCUGUUUAUAGUUCUUCAGGGGUACACUGAUCUGUAAGUAAAUACAGAAAAAGAAAGGGCUGCAUUCACAUUUUCAAGAUUUCAUCACAUACUGAUUGCUCUAGCCCAUUUUGCUGCAAAGUCCAGAUGGAGCAGAACACUAAGGGAGAAAUUGGACAGCACUGGGGCAUUCUGAAGUUGUCUUCUUCGCUCUUCAUGGGAUUGAUUAAGAUCACCUAAGUCAAACAGCGAUAUGAAGUGUAUUUUAAUGUAUGGUGCUACCUGGCUGUAAAAUUAUGCACUAUUGGAUGAAAUUAAUUUCUGAAACCUGUAGGCUUCUGUUAACAUGAUAUAUGGGGAGUUGGUGUUAGAGGUCUUGCUGGCAUGUGUGUAUUAAAUUGGAUAUGAUUUUUUGCCAGAUAGCUGUGCUGGUAGAAGUGCUAAUUGUCAGAUGCACAUAUACUGGUGCAACUUUUAUUAGCAUCACUUAUUUUAUUUCACUUAACUGAAAUAAGCCAUCCUGCCUUAAGCACUUCCCUGGCAGUGGAAAUGUGUCUAUAUCGAAAAGUUUUUUACCUAGCAGUGUAUUUGAAAGUGUAGAUUGAUCUUUGUUCAAUUUGCCAUUUCCUUUGUCCAUGUAGGUGCCUUGUGAAAUUCCACUUUGCUCCAGAUUUCAGGGAUAGAUGUUGCUUCAUGUACCCAGGACCUGUUUCAAAUUCAGCUAAUUGAGAUUAUAUCUGCCUCGGCCUCUUCCGCAAACACUGGAUUCACUGGAGUGUGUUACAGACAAUACGGCUCUCAAACAAUGAAGCAUUUGUGUUCAUUUUCUUGUAUUUUAUCUUUGGAAUUCUACUAUUUAGGUCACUAUCUGUUGCUUCCAGCUACUCUUCCCUGACAAAGUGUAGCUCUUUUUAGGCUUAAAAAGAUAUAAUCAAUGAAUUCAUCUAUGUUAUUCCUCUGGGUAUAAAGGUCUAGAUGUAAUAAGUGCUGCACAUAGUCUAAGAUUACAUUGCCAUGCCUGAACUGCAGCCCCAAGAUUAAUUGUGCAUUAUAGGCCAAAAUUUGAAGAGCUGCUGGAUGCUGACCUCUUCAAAAAUCUGAGAUAAAUAACACAAUAAAGAACAUUAUUACCAAAUUUCUCA
rnacentral:lncRNA from 1 species